rnacentral:lncRNA from 1 species
AGUUACCACACGACCAAUUGUGAAGUUAUAUCCAUUAGAACUAUAGUAACUGUUAUAGGAUUUUUGUGAAGGACAGUUAACGUAAAGUGAAAUAACAAAAAAAUGUUUCAAUGUGAUCCAUUUAUAGAACUUUAAAGUUUUGAUUAUUUAUCAUUUAAAAUAAUUUUAUUUCUUAUUCAUUUUGAGGCCCCCAGAAUGUCGUGAAUAUAGG